GAUGAACGCUGGCGGCGUGCCUAAUACAUGCAAGUCGAGCGAACAGACGAGGAGCUUGCUCCUCUGACGUUAGCGGCGGACGGGUGAGUAACACGUGGAUAACCUACCUAUAAUACUGGGAUAACUUCGGGAAACCGGAGCUAAUACCGGAUAAUAUAUUGAACCGCAUGGUUCAAUAGUGAAAGACGGUUUUGCUGUCACUUAUAGAUGGAUCCGCGCCGCAUUAGCUAGUUGGUAAGGUAACGGCUUACCAAGGCAACGAUGCGUAGCCGACCGGAGAGGGUGAUCGGCCACACUGGAACUGAGACACGGUCCAGACUCCUACGGGAGGCAGCAGUAGGGAAUCUUCCGCAAUGGGCGAAAGCUUGACGGAGCAACGCCGCGUGAGUGAUGAAGGUCUUCGGAUCGUAAAACUCUGUUAUUAGGGAAGAACAAAUGUGUAAGUAACUAUGCACGUCUUGACGGUACCUAAUCAGAAAGCCACGGCUAACUACGUG
rnacentral:rRNA from 1 species